rnacentral:lncRNA from 1 species
AUGCGUAUACACUAUGGAAUAUUAUUCAGCCGUAAAAAGAAGGAAAUAGCAAUUUGUGAUGACAUAGAUGAAGAUGAGCAAGCUGUUCAAACAGGUGUAGCGGCGUCCCCAGAAGAGGACAGAAAACACUUGCUUGGGGUCGGUCUUCUCCUGCGCAUUCACUCCAGGGAGCAAGACAAAGAGCCAGAAUUUUGCUGCUUACUACUUGGCUCUGUACCCCCAAGGACAAUGCAAUGAGGAGUUUGCUUCCCCUCAAAAUCUACUUAGUUGGCAAUUGGCUUGGCCAACGGAAUUUAAUGGAAGUGACCUGAAGAGAGGCUUCGUGUAUGCUUACAUGGUUUGGCUGGCCCUCUUUCACCCCUGUGGUCAUCAAGAAGAGGUUGGCCCCGCUAGCUUCUAUCCCUUCCAUUUGGGCCCAGAAUGAACUACCAGGACCUGACCCAAACCUGAUCUGCAC